ensembl:snRNA U6 U6 spliceosomal RNA
AUCCUCACUUUGGCAGCAUAUGCACCAAAAUUAGAACAAUACAGAGAAGGUUAGCAUGGCCCCUAUGCAAGGAUGACACAUGAGUUUGUGAAGCAGCCUAUUGUUUU